ACGCACGCUGGCGGCGUGCCUAAUCCAUGCAAGUCGCGCGGACCGGAUUGGGGCUUGCCUUGAUUCGGUCAGCGGCGGACGGGUGAGUAACACGUGGGCAACCUGCCCGCAAGACCGGGAUAACUCCGGGAAACCGGAGCUAAUACCGGAUAACACCGAAGACCGCAUGGUCUUCGGUUGAAAGGCGGCCUUUGGGCUGUCACUUGCGGAUGGGCCCGCGGCGCAUUAGCUAGUUGGUGAGGUAACGGCUCACCAAGGCGACGAUGCGUAGCCGGCCUGAGAGGGUGACCGGCCACACUGGGACUGAGACACGGCCCAGACUCCUACGGGAGGCAGCAGUAGGGAAUCUUCCGCAAUGGGCGAAAGCCUGACGGAGCGACGCCGCGCGAGCGAAGAAGGCCUUCGGGUCGUAAAGCUCUGUUGUGAGGGACGAAGGAGCGUCGUUCGAAGAGGGCGGCGCGGUGACGGUACCUCACGAGAAAGCCCCGGCUAACUACGUG
rnacentral:rRNA from 1 species